rnacentral:rRNA from 1 species
UUAAGUUAGUGGCGGACGGGUGAGUAACGCGUGGACAACCGUGCCUUCGACAGGGGGAUAGCAGCUGGAAACGGCUCGGUAAUACCGCAUACGCUCAUAGCCACCGCAUGGUGGUGUGAGGAAAGAUUUAUCGGUGAAAGAUGGAUCCGCGUCUGAUUAGCCAGUUGGCGGGGUAACGGCCCACCAAAGCGACGAUCAGUAGCCGGCCUGAGAGGGCGGACGGCCACAUUGGGACUGAGACACGGCCCAGGACUCCUACGGGAGGCAGCAUGGGGGAUAUUGCACAAUGGGCGCAAGCCUGAUGCAGCGACGCCGCGUGAGUGAAGAAGUAUUUCGGUAUGUAAAGCUCUAUCAGCAGGGAAGAAAGGCCCGCAAGGGAGAUGACGGUACCUGACUAAGAAGCCCCGGCUAACUACGUGCCAGCCGCAGC